rnacentral:rRNA from 1 species
CCUACGGGCGGCAGCAGUGAGGAAUAUUGGUCAAUGGCCGGAAGGCUGAACCAGCCAUGCCGCGUGAAGGUCAGUGCCCUAUGGGCGUUAAACUUCUUUUGUGCGGGAGCAAUAAUGGUCACGUGUGGCCAGACGAGAGUACCGUACGAAUAAGCAUCGGCUAACUCCGUGCCAGCAGCCGCGGUAAUACGGGGGAUGCAAGCGUUAUCCGGAUUUAUUGGGUUUAAAGGGUGCGUAGGCUGGGAGGUAAGUCAGCGGUGAAAUGCCCCCGCUCAACGGGGUGAAGUGCCAUUGAUACUGGCUUGCUGGAAUACGGAUGCGGUAGGAGGAAUGUGUGGUGUAGCGGUGAAAUGCAUAGAUAUCACACAGAACACCGAUUGCGAAGGCAGCUCACGAAUCCGCGAUUGACGCUGAUGCACGAAAGCGUGGGUAUCAAACAGGAUUAGAUACCCGUGUAGUC